GAAGCCGUCCGCGGCCCCCACCCCUCCCGCCUGGCUCGGGCGCCAGGAGAAGCGGACAUUUUAGCCUCCUCUGCAAUCCGCUCUCUCGUUCGUGUCCUUCUCCCCCCUCUCGUCCGGUAGGGCCGGCAGUGUAGAUUUCCCCAGGGGCGGGGGUGGGAUCUGAGCAAUCACUCGCCCUCCCCCCUCCCAGGGGCGGGGAGGGGGUGAUUUAGGGAGGACUCCACGGGGCCCAAAGGUUCGCACCGCCCCGCCGCGGCCCAGCCUGCAGAAGCCCCCCGCUGCCGCGGCGCCCCCGCUCCCCGCCCCGCGAGGCGCGCGCAGCUGCGCCCGGGCCUGUCCUCGCUUCACCCCCACUCUGCCCCUUCGGUAUUUCUCAAUGACCGGCGCUCCGAGGACACUUCCGACGCGGAGGGAGGGGGUGUCAUUAGCGCUCGGUUAUCAGUUCCUUCCGGUCUCCCCGAGCUCAACCCUGCGCGCGGCCGGGCCGCGCCUCGGGCGAUCUGGUGCCUUUAUUAUGAUGUUUAAGUAAGCAGUCGUGUGUGCCAAGUGAGUUUGUAGCCCAGCUGUCUCCCCCAAGCCCCGCUGGCAGGAAUGGAAACCCAAGCUCUCUCGUAAUGCAGGGGAUGAUGCAAACUUAGAAACUGACCCGGCGCCCGGGAAUGAGGCCCCCCCGCCCCGGGCGUGCGGCGGCCCAGUCGGGGCAUGAAUGGCUGGAGCCCGAUUGCAUAAUCCGCGCGGUAUAAAUAGCCGGCGGGCGGGCCGCUGACGCGCUCGGUUGUGCCGUUAUCGUGCAAUGCUUCAUCCCCGGUGCCGUUCAAUCCCAGGUCGUUUUCCCUUUCAGCUGCAAUGCCGGGAUUUUAAAUAGCAGAGAUGAAAGGCCCCUGCCCCCGCCUCCCUCCUCCCCUGAGUUCAUGUAUUAUGAAUGAAACGGCAGCCUCGCUGCUUCCUGAGGUGCUCCACUUCAGGCUGGGGUGCAAUGGCUCGAUCUCGGCUCAGUGCAACCUCUGCUUCCCGGGUUCAAGUGAUUCUCCUGCGUCAGCCUCCCAAGCAGCUGUGAAUACAGGUUGGAGUGCAGUGGUGCUGUGUCUGGAGUUUGUUCCUGCCGUUGGGUUUGUGGUCUUGCUGACUUCAAGAAUGAAGCCACGGACCUUCACGAGAAAUAUUACGUUGUAUGGAUGUACCACUGUUUGUUUAUCCAUUCUUCAGGUGAAGGACAUGUGGGUUGUGCCCAGCGCGGGCUGAAUAAAGUCCAUCGCCUUGGCUUAGUGCAUGUCACCAAAAAUUCUCCAGGAAUUUCAUAGUUUGGACCUUGGUGGCAUGGCUGGCCCUGGAUUAUCCAUGCAGGGAGGCCUGAUCCUGUGACAGCUGGCUGCAGCAGGGGGCUGCCCAUCUUCUGUGCUUUGUGGUACAUAUCUGUGUCACCAAAGUAGCGGCCUCGGUACAGCAAGCCUUUCAUCUGCUGCUUCUCCGUCCAGCAGUUGUUCCAGAGGUUGGCGAUAUAAUCAUCUUUCACAUUCGGUUUGACUGUUUGGAGGCUGGAGCCUGUGUACUCCUCGGAGAAAAUGCCUGCCACAUAGUAGAUGACACUCAGGUGGUCAGUGACUCGCCUGUGAUGUGGCCCACAAACAGUCUUGGGCUCAGACUGUAGGGUGGACUGGAGACCAUGAGCUGGCUGAGAGCUGACAUGAGGAUGAGGAUGGGUAUCAGCUGCACGAACACCCGCAAGCUGCCGUCACUCCGCUUCUCCCUGCAGCCCUGCCUUUGCUGCCAUCAUAAUGUGAAGAAGCCGAAGCAGCCUGUGAAGAGGCGCUAGUGGAAAGGAACUCAGGUGCCCCUGCCCUCAGUCCCAGCUGAACUCUCAGCUGACAGCCAUCACCAACUUGCCAGCCACAGGAGUGAGCCAACUUGAGAGUGGAUCUUUCAGUCCCAGUGGAGCCAUCUCAGCUGACACACCAUGGUAAAAAGAUGAACCAUCCUUGCUGAUCCUUGCCAGUGCUGCAGAUACAUAAGCAAAAUAAAUGUUUUUGUUGUUUUAAGCCACU
rnacentral:lncRNA from 10 species